CAGAUGUUUACCCUGGGAAGCCAGCCCCCAUGCCAUGAAGAAGCCCAGGCCACCCAGAGAGACCGUAUGUAGUUGUUCCAGCUGACUGUCCCAGUUAAUGUUGGAGUGUAUAAACAAAGCUUACCUACUAUAUCGGCAGCAGAUCACCCUUUCUCCUUCUGGAAAUGACUGUAGUCUCAGCAUGUAGUUGAGCAAUUACCAACACUCCAGCAUGACUUUUCCAGAGGAGUAAGACCUUAUCUACAGCUUCUAUCAAGCAGGCUCUUCUCCCCAUU